rnacentral:rRNA from 1 species
GAUGAACGCUGGCGGCGUGCCUAAUACAUGCAAGUCGAGCGAACGGACGAGAAGCUUGCUUCUCUGAUGUUAGCGGCGGACGGGUGAGUAACACGUGGAUAACCUACCUAUAAGACUGGGAUAACUUCGGGAAACCGGAGCUAAUACCGGAUAAUAUUUUGAACCGCAUGGUUCAAACGUGAAAGACGGUCUUGCUGUCACUUAUAGAUGGAUCCGCGCUGCAUUAGCUAGUUGGUAAGGUAACGGCUUACCAAGGCAACGAUGCAUAGCCGACCUGAGAGGGUGAUCUGCCACACUGGAACUUAGACACGGUCCAGACUCCUACGGGAGGCAACAGUAGGGAAUCUUCCGCAAUAGGCGAAAGCCUGACGGAGCAACGCCGCGUGAGUGAUGAAGGUCUUCGGAUCGUAAAACUCUGUUAUUAGGGAAGAACAUAUGUGUAAGUAACUGUGCACAUCUUGACGGUACCUAAUCAGAAAGCCACGGCUAACUACGUG